rnacentral:rRNA from 1 species
AUUGAACGCUGGCGGCAGGCCUAACACAUGCAAGUCGAGCGAGCGGCGGACGGGUGAGUAAUGUCUGGGAAACUGCCCGAUAGAGGGGGAUAACUACUGGAAACGGUGGCUAAUACCGCAUACUAUCGGAUGAACCCAUAUGGGAUUAGCUAGUAGGUGGGGUAACGGCUCACCUAGGCGACGAACCCUAGCUGGUCUGAGAGGAUGGCCAGCCACACGGGGACUGCGACACGGCCCAGACUCCUACGGGAGGCAGCAGUGGGGAAUAUUGCACAAUGGGCGCAAGCCUGAUGCAGCCAUGCCGCGUGUAUGAAGAAGGCCUUAGGGUUGUAAAGCACUUUCAGCGGGGAGGCGUUACCCGCAGAAGAAGCACCGGCUAACUCCGUGCCAGCAGCCGCGGUAAUAC